AUUGAACGCUGGCGGCAUGCCUUACACAUGCAAGUCGAACGGUAACAGGUCUUCGGAUGCUGACGAGUGGCGAACGGGUGAGUAAUACAUCGGAACGUGCCUAGUAGUGGGGGAUAACUACUCGAAAGAGUGGCUAAUACCGCAUGAGAUCUACGGAUGAAAGCAGGGGAUCGCAAGACCUUGUGCUACUAAAGCGGCCGAUGGCAGAUUAGGUAGUUGGUGGGAUAAAAGCUUACCAAGCCGACGAUCAGUAGCUGGUCUGAGAGGACGAUCAGCCACACUGGGACGGAGAAACGGCCCAGACUCCUACGGGAGGCAGCAGUGGGGAAUUUUGGACAAUGGGCGCAAGCCUGAUCCAGCAAUGCCGCGUGCAGGAUGAAGGCCUUCGGGUUGUAAACUGCUUUUGUACGGAACGAAAAGCCCCGGGUUAAUACCCUGGGGUCAUGACGGUACCGUAAGAAUAAGCACCGGCUAACUACGUGCCAGCAGCCGCCGUAA
rnacentral:rRNA from 1 species